rnacentral:lncRNA from 1 species
CUUCUCCUCAAAGCACACUCAGCAUGCUCAUUCUAGACUUCGCAUUUAGCCAUGAAUUCCCACCAGGAAUGCUUGACCUUCCAUUACCUAAGCACUUUCGAGACUCAGUUCUAACGUCAUUUUUAUCAUAAAGCUUUUCUGCAGAGUAGUUACGUGCUUCUCUAAACGUCUACAACAUGGACCAUGUGAAUCUGAUUACAGACCAGCGUGUGUUGUGUUUUUAGCCCUCUUGUUUUGUAAACUCGCCUCCUCCUGGAUCACAAGCAGUUGGAGGAUCUUGACAACAAGGAGCGGCUUUGUUUGUUUUAGUUGUUUCUCUGCAAGUCAGAGAACAAAACAGUUGCAAGGCUAUAUGUUAUGUCUGAUGUUAUCUUAAUUAUCAUAAUCUAAAAUCUCUUUUUUAAAUUUUAAGGGUCUUAUAAAUUUAACCUCAUCUCUGAUCCUGAAAUUUCACUGGCCCCACAUAAGGCCUGAGAUUGUUUGG